GACGGGGGAUGCAAGCGUUAUUCGGAAUUAUUGGGCGUAAAGCGUCUGUAGGUGGCAAGGAAAGUGUUGUGUUAAAGAUCAGGGCUCAACCUUGAGAAAGCAUAGCAAACUAUCUUGCUUGAGUUCGGUAGGGGCAGAGAGAAUUCCCAGUGUAGCGGUGAAAUGCGUAGAUAUUGGGAGGAAGACCAGUGGCGAAGGCGUUCUGCUGGGCCGUAACUGACACUGAGAGACGAAAGCUAAGGGAGCAAAUAGGAUUAGAUACCCUAGUAGUCUUAGCUGUAAACGAUGCACACUAUGUUUUGCUUCAGAGCAAAAGCUAACGCGUUAAGUGUGCCGCCUGGGGAGUACAUUCGCAAGGAUG
rnacentral:rRNA from 1 species